GAGGUCUGCGCACGCGCAUUCCUGGCUUAAGUCGAGAAGAACGGUUGGAGGCGGCCGUACUUUGGGCGCGAGGCAGAGGAAGAAAGAAAGAGGCGAAGAAGCAGAAGCAGUUCCCGCGCGCACGAGGCGUUUCCGCUCCGGCCCUCCCUCCGCUUCCUGUCUCGGCGGCCCCGGCGCUCAGUCGGCGUGGCAACCCUGUUCCCUCGCGCGCCUUUGCCGCUCCUUCGGCCGCGGAUGCAGCGCCGCGAGGACCUCGCCGCCCCCGGCCGCCUGGGCAGGGCCCCGGGCCCGGCGGCUCCCCCGGGCCGCCUCCAGUCGCCUCAGGCUGCCGCCUCCCCGAGGAGGCCUCCACGGGGCGGAGGUGGCGGGGUGCGUGGGCCCCAGCCUCCGCCCCUGCUGCCGCCCUCGGCCACCGGCUCGGCUCCGCCGGCCCCCAGCGUCGUCCCUACCCCGCUGAUACCCGGCGCCGGGUCCGCGGCCAAGGCCGAGCCCGAGAACAAGUACCUGCCCGAGCUCAUGGCCGAGAAGGACAGCCUGGACCCUUCCUUCACCCACGCCAUGCAGCUGCUGCAAGCCGAAAUCGACAAAAUUCAGAAAGGUGAAUCAAAGAAAGAUGAGGACGAGACCUAUCUGGACUUGUUUUCUCAUAAGAACAUGAAGCUGAAAGAACGAGUUCUCAUCCCAGUCAAGCAAUACCCUAAGUUUAACUUUGUUGGGAAGAUCCUGGGACCCCAAGGCAACACCAUCAAGCGACUGCAGGAAGAAACUGGAGCAAAGAUAUCUGUACUGGGGAAGGGGUCAAUGAGAGACAAGGCAAAGGAGGAAGAACUGCGCAAGGGGGGUGACCCAAAGUAUGCUCAUUUAAAUAUGGACCUGCAUGUCUUCAUUGAAGUUUUUGGGCCACCCUGUGAGGCUUAUGCUCUUAUGGCCCAUGCCAUGGAAGAAGUCAAAAAGUUCCUUGUUCCGGAUAUGAUGGAUGACAUCUGCCAGGAGCAGUUUCUGGAGCUGUCUUAUCUCAAUGGUGUGCCAGAGCCAACACGAGGUCGAGGGAUUCCUGUACGAGGAAGGGGAGCUGUCCCCCCACCUCCACCUGUUCCUAGUGUGUGGAGUGGGGCAGCCUUGCUGAACAGGGGACGUGGCGUGGGACCUCCGCCACCACCUCCACGUGGAGCUCUUGUGCGGGGGGCCCCAGUAAGAGGUGCCAUUGCAAGAGGAGCAGCUGUGGCCCGGGGUGUUCCCCCUCUUCCAGCAGUGAGAGGUUCCCCUGCACCAAGAGCUCGGGCAGCCGGCAUUCAAAGAAUACCUCUUCCUCCCCCUCCUGCACCAGAGACCUAUGAAGAUUAUGGCUAUGACGAUGCUUAUGCUGAGCAAAGUUAUGAAGGAUAUGAAGGCUACUACAGCCAGGGUCAACAGGAAACAGAAUAUUAUGACUAUGGACAUGGUGAAGCACAGGAAUCUUAUGAAGCGUAUGGUCAAGAUGAUUGGAAUGGAACAAGGCCCUCGCUCAAGGCCCCUCCGACUAGGCCAGUGAAGGGAGCGUACAGAGAGCACCCAUACGGACGCUAUUAAAGCAUACAUGAGGGGGAAAUAUCACUUUUGAGCAAACAGUUGUUUCUGAUUCUUGUAUCUCCCAGGAUUCCUGUUGCUUUACCCACAACAGACAAGAGGUGCUCUGCUGUUGGGGUGAAAAUGACUUUUGCUGAGGACAAGUUGGGUAUGCUAUUCGGCUGUUUCUACUUGUCGGGUUUUGGAACAAAGAACUCUUGUAUCUCAUAUAAGCUACAUUUGCAUGACCAGUGACUUCCGUUCAAUAAGGCUGUGCUGACACUUAACUUGUCAUUUAGUCAAAACAGGCCAAAAAUCAAGGCAGAAGGAUGGGCAAGGCUAUGUAUGCAAUGGUUUAAAAACAAAUACUCAGUUUUGACACUAUGGGACAUGUCAAAAUGCCCCAACAUUGCAUAUUUUGCAUAGUGCAUUCUAGUCUGAGGAGGGUCAGUCACUGAAGCCCCAGCCCCAAAUAUCGGACAUCUUAUUCACCUCUCUGGCUUCUGAAACUGUAGCAGGCACUUCAAGCAUACUUUGAAAUCUUCGGGAAGCUAAAUUAUUUGCACCUUCUGCUUGUUUCUAAGUGCCUGUGGGAUUACGCCACACAGAACACGAAUGCAACCUGCCAUUCAGGAACUACUUUAGAGCUGUUUGUUCAUGUGAAUAUUGCCAACCCCAGUUGACACUUGAUUCCUUCUCCCUUUGCCUUUAAAGCAAUUGGCAGGUUCUCCUAAGACAGGUGUGGGGAAUUUGUUGAGUCGCCAGGUGCUGCUGGACUCAUUGUGGUCCCAGCUUCCAUGCCUAACAAUCAAGGGUGAUUUCCCCCCCCCCCCCAGUGUAUCUGAAGAAGUGUGCAUGCACACAAAAGCUCAUGCCAAAAUAAAAACUUAGUUGGUCUUUAAGGUGCUACUGAAGGAAUUUUUUUAUUUUGCUUCGACUCAGACCAACACGGCUACCUACCUGUAACUAGAAUCAAGGGUGAUGUUUGUAAUCCCACAGUGUUUGGGGGGGGGCACCAGUGGGUCUCCCUUGUCUGAAAAAUUUGUGGCAGUUAGGAAAUUAAGCCUGUGCUGGUCACCAAUUACCUACUGCUGAACCUCUGCAUCUUCUCAGCUGAUUAAUUAGCAUCUUGAACUUGGCAGAGAGCCCACACUUCCCAGCUAAGCUAGAUGAUCUUAUGAAUAAGUCAUUCAACCACAGUGGCCCCUCACUGACCAAUAAUGACCUAGCAGAGAACUUAAGCUAGUAAAGCAUUUUACAUGCAACAAAAAUUAUAUAAAUUACUGUUUUCAUAGAGUUUUCAUAGAGUUGUAGUUUCGUAUGUUAGGGUGUGAACCAUUGACUAAUGGAAGAGCUCCCUCUAGUGGCUUCAGAAUGAUCACUUAACUAUCUAGCUUGUUUGUUCCCGCUCAGAUCCAAAGAAAACAACACUGCAAGCUGGGAAGAAACUAUUGAUAAAACUACUGAGUGAAACUGUUUAACAGGCAGGACCACAGUGAGUCGAUUCUGGACCUUUCUGAGCAACGUGCCCAAAAGACGAGCUCCCCAAACCUAGAAUGCUGGCCCCAAAUCAGGCUUGGGUUUAUCAUGGGAAGGGGGGGAAUUACCGGUAUGUGCCAAAAACCCUAACUUUUCCAUUACAAUAAACUGGGCAAACAGAAUGCUUGAAUCUGCCUUCUCCAACCUCGUGCCUCUCAUGUUUUGGAUCACAACUCUCAUCAUCCGAAGCCAGCAUGGCUUCAGAGAUGUAGUCCAAGGCCCCAGGUUUGGGAAGACUGCAAUGUGGGAUAGUGUGUGACCCAAAAUCACCCAUUACUGAGCAUAGAUUUGAAGCUGAGUCUCCGCAGUUGGAAGCUGUAACGAUUACAUCACAUUGGGUACUUUUUUGAGACACAACAUGAUUCUUGAAAGAUUUCCAAAUUAACUCUGUUGCAGUUCUUCUCUUGAGGUCGCAACCCAGCAAGACUAUAUGUGUGCAUGGGAAGAAUAUGUACUAGAAGAGUUGUCUCUUCAGCAUGUACAAGCCUAUAGGUCUUCAGCAUGUACAAACCUAUAGGUCUUUAGCACUGCCCUCCAUAUUUGCUGUGAAUUUAGGGGCCCUGGAAACCCUGACCUAAAGGGACUACAAUAUGAGAACCAUUGGCAUAACUUUUGCAGCAUAAUUUACUGGUUACAUCCUGAGUUUCAGUAAUUCUCUCCUAUUUUUCUCCAAUAGAUGGAAUCAUCAAAUACAAGAAGAGGAGGCAACAUGAGGCAUAUUUUUACCAAGAAGUGCUCUUUGGAGAAUUUCUAAUCUCUGUAAACUAUAUGUGUACUGGGGCUUCAAAGACCUGUUUUCAGUUGGUUCAGUUACAUUUUGUGCUGGCACAAGUUCGCUACAUUCAUUGCAGGCAAACAUGGUAGUAUACAUCUGUUCAUUGCUGGACCAUGAAGUAGAUGAGCCCCAGAUACAUUAUUUGAGUGUGCUGUGGUAUUGAGUACAUUUUAAUAAAGCUGCUCCAUUUUUUUAAAAAAAAGCGAUUUCAUGUUAAAUCAUUUUAGUAAAUUUGUAUUAUUUCUUAAUCUCCCAACACUAGAAUGGUUUCCUGCCUCUUUUGAUCCAUACCAAGGUUGAAUUGUAAUUGUACAGGUUGUACAGUUUUUGUAAUUGUAAUUUUACAGUUGAAGUUUUUAAUAUGCUCAAACACUGAAGAUUUGGGAUUUGGGAAAAUGACUGUAUAUAUGGUGUGUUACAGAAAUGUGUGGUCUUUAAUUUUCUUGUCUGAAAUUAAUUUAAUUUUUUAUGGAAGCCUUCUGGCACUGAUUCGCUGGAGAAAUCCCUGCUUUUCUUUGCAACCUUAAGGGCUAGAAAUGAGCUUCAUAUUUUCUCCUGUUUUUCUUCCCCACACUACCACAAUUGGGAAUUACAGUAGUUGCCAGACUAAACAUCUGGUUCUACUGUAAGUGUAUUCUUGAUUCUAUUACUCUUUUUAAGUAUGCUUUUUAAAAAAAACUGGAUAAUUUAAAAAUCCCUGUCUUAAUCUUGAAAGUGAAGUUUACACCCUAGGGACAAAUCUACUCUUUAAAAAAUAAUGAGCUUCUUUAAAAAUACAAAAGGCGGCACGCGUAUUUUUGGGAAAACAGCAGUCACAUCAUAACUGAUUUACAACCUAAACCCUAGAUUAAUCUAAACUUUGAUUUAACCUUACCUUGAAAUUAUUUACCAAAACAAUCUGUCAAGGGAGCAGUCUUCCAAAGAGAGGGUUAACAUACAGCAGCCUUCUCCAGCCUAGAGCCCUCCAGAUCGAUCGAUUGAUUUUUUAUUUACUUAUUUAUUUACUGGACUACAACUCUAUAAUUAGUUUCAGCCAGCAUUACCAGUAGUCGAGGGUUAUUGGUGUUACGGUACAAAACAUUUGGAAGGUGAAGGGUAACAAGAGAAGCCAAAGCAGGAUUUAUUUUGUUCCAGUCAGCAACCAUAAGGUAUAGGAGUGCUCAGCUCUGCAGCAUGGAAUACAGUGCUGACUACACGGAGAAUGCAUUGCCUGAUGUAUAUAUCUAAACUGGGAGUGUGCUUUGGUGUGGAAGGCAUGGUGACGGGAUCUACAGCUUCAGCAUCUCAGUUUAGAAAUUGAAGAGUCUAUGCCCUUUAGUGGACAUUGUACACAAAUUAUAUGUGUUGCGGGUCAAAACACUGCUUUGGUACCAUUUUGUGUCUGUUGCUGCAAUGUGACCUAUCCAGAGACGCCUACUUCAUCAGAUGUGUUAAGUAAAAUAUUGGAAGGGUGCAAAGUAAGGUAACAGAUUAUGCAAGUGGUAAAAUUUGAGGUGAAUACAAAAGGCCCUCAGACCAACCUGUUGACAGCACUGACAGCUCUUAAAGGUAUUAGAAAAGUGAAGGACGGCUGGAUAGUUAAAUCUAAUCAAAGGCGACGGGGGGGGGGGGUGCGGCACUCAUCUCACUUUUGACUAAGGGAGCUGGCAUUUGUCCACAGGCAGCUUUACAGGUCAUGUGGCCAGCAUGAAUAAACUGCUUCUGGUGCAACGGAACACCAUGAUGGAAGAGCGCACGGAAACACCGUUUACCUGCCCACUGCAGCAGUACCUAUUUAUUUACUUGCAUUGGCAUGCUUUCAAACUGCUAGGUUGGCAGGAGCUGGGACAGAGCAACGGGAGCUCACAUUGUCGCGGGGAUUCAAACUGGUGGCCUUCCGAUCAACAAGCCUAAGAGGCUUGGUGGUUUAGAGCAGUGUUUUUCAACCACUGUUCCGCGGCACACUAGUGUGCCGCGAGAUGUUGCCUGGUGUGCCGUGGGGAAAAUUGAAAAAUUUGAUUUAUAUAUAGUCAAUAUAGGCACAGAGUUAAUUUUUUUAACCUUUUCUAAUGGUGGUGUGCCUCGUGAUUUUUUUCAUGAAACAAGUGUGCCUUUGCCCAAAAAAGGUUGAAAAGCACUGGUUUAGUCAGACCAUAGUGCCACCCACAUCUACAAAAAGGUGUAAGAGCUCAGUGGUGGGUGUGUUAUUUGCCUUGCAGGCUGUUCUCUCAUUUUAGAAGUACAUAGCUCAUUAGGAGUUCUGGAGUGGUGGAGCCUAUGAAGUCUACUAGAAUGGCCCUCAGCCAAAAGAAGCCUGCUUCUUAGGCAUGCUUUAUCAAAUGACUGCCUUCUCUCUAGCUGACCGUCAUGCUGCAGUUGGUGGUAGUGGUAAGCAAGCAAAGCCCCCUCCAUAAAUAGUGCAUCAGCACUGUAUUGCAAUGUCGUAAUCUGGCAGCAAAGGGGGGCAUUAUUUUGUACUCCCUUCCCCCCACUAUGUGCUUAUAUGACAUGAGAGGGGUGUUGAAUCAGUGGAGUGCACAAUCCUAAUUGUCAGCGCUAGGGUGGGUUUUUUAAAAGACCUUAGAAAAAUACAAGUGUGAAGUACUCUUUAGAUCGGGGUAGUCAAUUUUUUAUACCUACCACCCACUAAUGCAUCUUGAUGGCAAAAUUUCCUUACCGCCCACCAGUGCUGCAACCCCCUGCCGCCCACCUGGAAUCCUGAAACGCCCACUAGUGGGCAGUAGGGACCAGGUUGACUGACUGUUGCAUCAGUAUUCCACAAAGGAGAUCAAGGUGGUGUCCGUUAUUCUCCCUCUUCACAGUUAAGCCCCACAAUAGCUCUGGCACGUAGGUUCGGCUGAGGAGAUCCCGCAGUCGGUGGCAGUAAGCCAGGAGCGGUGGCUCUCGAUACUGGGCUUCAACUGCCAUCAUAAGUGGCUUUUGUCCAUGUUGGUGGCAGCUAGCGGUCCACAUGCACAUCCUUGUCUCUCACGUAGCAUGUGGCGAGUACACAAAAGCCGCAGGGGAAAGCGGGGUGCGCGCAUGCGUGUAGCUGGUACUUGAGGGCUUCCAGCAGUCGCCCGUUAGGAUCCCCGCAGGGGCGAAGAGGUCUCCGGCCUUCAUCAGAAG